GACAGAGGCUUGAGGACUGUUACCGUAGUUACAGUGCAUUCACAAAGUAUUCAGACCCCAAGGUGAAGGACAGAGGCUUGAGGACUGUUACCGUAGUUACAGUGCAUUCAGGAAGUAUUCAGACCCCAAGGUGAAGGACAGAGGCUUGAGGACUGUUACCGUAGUUACAGUGCAUUCACAAAGUAUUCAGACCCCAAGGUGAAGGACAGAGGCUUGAGGACUGUUACCGUAGUUACAGUGCAUUCAGGAAGUAUUCAGACCCCAAGGUGAAGAACAGAGGCUUGAGGACUGUUACCGUAAUUACAGUGCAUUCAGGAAGUAUUCAGACCCCAAGGUGAAGGACAGAGGCUUGAGGACUGUUACCGUAGUUAGUGUAUUCAGGAAGUAUUCAGACCCCAAGGUAAAGGACAGAGGCUUGAGGACUGUUACCGUAGUUACAGUGCAUUCAGGAAGUAUUUAGACCCCAAGGUAAAGGACAGAGGCUUGAGGACUGUUACCGUAGUUACAGUGUAUUCACAAAGUAUUCAGACCCCAAGGUAAAGGACAGAGGCUUGAGGACUGUUACCGUAGUUACAGUGCAUUCACAAAGUAUUCAGACCCCAAGGUGAAGGACAGAGGCUUGAGGACUGUUACCGUAGUUACAGUGCAUUCACAAAGUAUUCAGACCCCAAGGUGAAGGA